AUUGAACGCUGGCGGCAGGCCUAACACAUGCAAGUCGAACGAGUGGCGGACGGGUGAGUAAUGUCUGGGAAACUGCCUGAUGGAGGGGGAUAACUACUGGAAACGGUAGCUAAUACCGCAUACCAUCAGAUGUGCCCAGAUGGGAUUAGCUAGGUGGUGGGGUAACGGCUCACCAAGGCGACGAUCCCUAGCUGGUCUGAGAGGAUGACCAGCCACACUGGAACUGAGACACGGUCCAGACUCAUACGGUAGGAAUCAGGGGGAAAUAUUGCACAAGGGGCGCAAGCCGGAUGCAGCCAUGCCGCGGGGAUGAAGAGGGCCUUCGGGUGGUAAAGUACUUUCAGCGGGGAGGCGUUACCCGCAGAGGAAGCACCGGCUAACUCCGUGCCAGCAGCCGCGGUAAUUC
rnacentral:rRNA from 1 species